rnacentral:rRNA from 1 species
UUGAGAGUUUGAUCCUGGCUCAGAACGAACGCUGGCGGCAUGCCUAACACAUGCAAGUCGAGCGAGAUCUUCGGAUCUAGCGGCGGACGGGUGAGUAACGCGUGGGAAUAUGCCCUUCUCUACGGAAUAGCCUCGGGAAACUGAGAGUAAUACCGUAUACGCCCUUCGGGGGAAAGAUUUAUCGGAGAAGGAUUAGCCCGCGUUGGAUUAGGUAGUUGGUGGGGUAAUGGCCUACCAAGCCGACGAUCCAUAGCUGGUUUGAGAGGAUGAUCAGCCACACUGGGACUGAGACACG